CCCCUUCGGUGUCGUAGCCAACGCGUUAAGUGUUCCGCCUGGGGAGUACGCACGCAAGUGUGAAACUCAAAGGAAUUGACGGGGGCCCGCACAAGCGGUGGAGUAUGUGGUUUAAUUCGAUGCAACGCGAAGAACCUUACCAGGGUUUGACAUCCUGCGAAUCUCUUGGAAACAGGAGAGUGCCUUCGGGAACGCAGUGACAGGUGGUGCAUGGCUGUCGUCAGCUCGUGUCGUGAGAUGUUGGGUUAAGUCCCGCAACGAGCGCAACCCACGUCUUUAGUUGCCAGCAUUUAGUUGGGCACUCUAGAGAGACUGCCGGUGAUAAACCGGAGGAAGGUGUGGAUGACGUCAAGUCAUCAUGCCCCUUACAUCCUGGGCUACACACGUACUACAAUGCUACGGACAAAGGGCAGCAAGUUCGCGAGGACAAGCAAAUCCCAUAAACCGUGGCUCAGUUCAGAUCGUAGGCUGCAACUCGCCUACGUGAAGGCGGAAUCGCUAGUAAUCGCAGGUCAGCAUACUGCGGUGAAUACGUUCCCGGGCCUU
rnacentral:rRNA from 1 species